rnacentral:tRNA from 1 species
UGGCUCAGUUGGUAGAGCAUGGUACUUGCAGUACCAGGGUUGUGGGUUCGAUUCCCAC